rfam:Canis lupus familiaris chromosome 4, whole genome shotgun sequence.
AGGAGGAACAGCCCCAGUGGCGGGUCAGCUCUGGAAACCUGGAUUCAGCUCCGGCAGGAACUCCGUCUGCAGGGCCUGGAGGCUCCGGGGCGGG